rnacentral:rRNA from 1 species
AUUGAACGCUGGCGGCAGGCCUAACACAUGCAAGUCGAGCGAGCGGCGGACGGGUGAGUAAUGCCUGGGAAUUGCCCAGUCGAGGGGGAUAACAGUUGGAAACGACUGCUAAUACCGCAUACGAUUGGAUUGCCCAGGUGGGAUUAGCUAGUUGGUGAGGUAAUGGCUCACCAAGGCGACGAUCCCUAGCUGGGCUGAGAGGAUGAUCAGACACACUGGAACUGAGACGGGGUCCAGACUCCUACGGGAGGCAGCAGUGGGGGAUAGUGCACAAUGGGUGAAACCCUGAGGCAGCCAGGCCGCGUGUCGGAAGAAGGCCUUGGGGUUGUAAGGGAGUGUCAGUGAGGAGGCGUUACUCGCAGAAGAAGCACCGGCUAACUCCGUGCCAGCGGCCGCGGUAAUUC